AGGACGAACGCUGGCGGCGUGCCUAACACAUGCAAGUCGAACGAGGUCCAUCCGGUAGCAAUACUGGUGAAGAUCAAGUGGCGAACGGGUGAGUAGCACGUGAGCAACCUGCCCCGAAGACCGGGACAACACCGGGAAACCGGUGCUAAUACCGGAUAUCCCCACCGAGUCGCAUGGCUUGGUGAGGAAAUGGAUUCCGCUUCGGGAGGGGCUCGCGGCCUAUCAGCUUGUUGGUGAGGUAAUGGCUCACCAAGGCUUCGACGGGUAGCUGGUCUGAGAGGACGAUCAGCCACACUGGGACUGAGACACGGCCCAGACUCCUACGGGAGGCAGCAGUGGGGAAUCUUGCACAAUGGGCGAAAGCCUGAUGCAGCAACGCCGCGUGAGGGACGAAAGGCUUUACUGAGUUGUAAACCUCUUUCAGCAGGGACGAUUGUGACGGUACCUGCAGAAGAAGCCCGGCAACUACGCGCCAGCCAGCCG
rnacentral:rRNA from 1 species